rnacentral:rRNA from 1 species
GAUCAACGCAGGCGGCGUGCCUUAACACAUGCAAGUCGAACGAGAUGCGUAUCGGAAAGCUUCGGCCGGAAGAUGCGUUAUAUAGUGGCGGACGGGUGAGUAACACGUGGGUAACCUGCCUUAUGGAGGGGGAUAACAGAGAGAAAUCACUGCUAAUACCGCAUAAGCACACAUUGCCGCAUGGCAGAGUGUGAAAAGAUUUAUCGCCAUAAGAUGGACCCGCGUCUGAUUAGCCAGUUGGCAGGGUAAAAGCCUACCAAAGCAACGAUCAGUAGCCGAUCUGAGAGGAUGACCGGCCACAUUGGGACUGAGACACGGCCCAAACUCCUACGGGAGGCAGCAGUGGGGAAUAUUGCACAAUGGGGGAAACCCUGAUGCAGCGACGCCGCGUGAGUGAAGAAGUAUUUCGGUAUGUAAAGCUCUAUCAGCAGGGAAGAUAAUGACAGUACCUGACUAAGAAGCCCCGGCUAACUACGUGCCAGCAGCCGCGGUAAUACGUAGGGGGCAAGCGUUAUCCGGAUUUACUGGGUGUAAAGGGAGCGUAGACGGAAUGGCAAGUCUGAAGUGAAAACCCCGGGCUCAACCUGGGGACUGCUUUGGAAACUGUUGUUCUAGAGUGUUGGAGAGGUAAGUGGAAUUCCUGGUGUAGCGGCGAAAUGCGUAGAUAUCAGGAAGAACACCGGAGGCGAAGGCGGCUUACUGGACAAUAACUGACGUUGAGGCUCGAAAGCGUGGGGAUCAAACAGG